rnacentral:rRNA from 1 species
GUGUCAGCAGCCGCGGUAAUACGGAGGAUGCGAGCGUUAUCCGGAUUUAUUGGGUUUAAAGGGUGCGUAGGCGGAUUUAUAAGUCAGUGGUGAAAACCUGCAGCUUAACUGUAGAACUGCCAUUGAUACUGUGAGUCUUGAGUAUGGUCAAGGUAGGCGGAAUGUGUAAUGUAGCGGUGAAAUGCUUAGAUAUUACACAGAACACCGAUUGCGAAGGCAGCUUACUGGACCAUUACUGACGCUGAUGCACGAAAGCGUGGGGAGCGAACAGGAUUAGAUACCCGCGUAGUCC